rnacentral:lncRNA from 1 species
CAUCAUGGAGGUUGCUGGUUGCAUUUGAAAAAUAAUUAUAGAAGAGAAUGUAAUAGAUUUUUGAUUCAAUUGUUUAUUCUUGGAUGAUGUUGACUACCUUGUAAUAAGCAUGACCAAGUGCAUUACCUAUGCAUCAUAACAUGACUCCUUUGGUACUCUCUCAUAUAAGCAUCCACUCGGGCAUCUCGCACUCCACUCAUGAGCAUAUAUGCAUCAUACAGGC